AAGUCUUAUGCUGUGUGUUAAGGCAGUUAACUUCAUCAAGAAGAAACGAAAGACCAGCCUUGACUUUUUUCUUUCCAGUUGCAGAAAUUGCUUGAUCAGAUGCUGUGUCUAUACCACCCACAAGCGCCACCUUCGGGUAGUUUCUCAGUACGGUUGCAGAAAUUUGGGGCCAUCUGGACUUUGCAUUAUACUGGCUUUUGUGCUGAAGAUGGUGUCCACAUUCCCAGAGAAUCCUGCUUUCUUAGAAGUCCCAAGACACUUUUCCCUCCGUGCUGGUGAGAAUAGAAAUUAGAAUUCGUGGUUUAGGUGGGUGGAUCCUAGCCCUGCAUGCAUAUCAGAGCUACUGGGGAGCUUUGUGAAACUACAGAGGCCUACAACUCACCCCCAGAGAGGCUGAUCUAACUAGAGUAGAUGGUUCUAAUAUGCAGGCAUUAGGCCACUGGCUUAGUCUAAUAAAGAUUUCCUUACCUGGGCUGGCA
rnacentral:lncRNA from 1 species